GGCGCCCUGACAGAGUGGUCUAUUGUACAGGUCUGCAAAACCUCGGUUCAUGGGUUCGAAUCCCAUGGGCGCCUA
rnacentral:tRNA from 1 species